AUUAGGUUGUUAUCAUGAUACUUUUAUCUGGAGGAACAGCUGGCUCUGACAUCUUCACAGCUUUAUUUUGAUUUUUUAUUAUCUGUACUAUUAGAAAUGUUUUUCUGUGAGGUUCACUGUUAUCUUACUAAAUGUCUAAUCCCAUAGGGUACAGCAGACACUACCCAACUUCUAGUGUUAAAUCCAGCCACACAAUUCUACCUGAUGUUAAGUUUUGCUCUUGUCUAAUAUGGCCAGGAUUGAAUUAUGAGAAAAUGGCAGUAGGAUUACAAGCAUCCUAAAACAAAGCACAUAUCAAAUAGUGUAAAAUCUUUAAGUAAAACAACCAUCAGAAGCACCUAAUUGUGAGAAAUACUUGUGACUAUCCCAUGCCAAAGACAAGGAGACACUGCUUCCAAAAAUCAACUGUGGCACAUUUCUGUUCUCAACAGGAAGAGCUCAGCAGAGGGGGGCACAUCAGUACUGACAGGAUGAAAUCACCAGCAUGGCAAAUGAGUUUAACCUCUUGAAUAGCAGCCCUGUCACUGCGCCUAAAAGGCAGCAUCAUUUCUUCAGUUCAGACAAAAGCAGGAAAAAAAUCCCUCAGUGACCAUGAAAAAGAGUUUUAUUUGCUUUCAGUUUACACGUUUUGGAUGUUUCACUAAGAGACAAGCCCCAAGAAGGAGGAGAAGAGCCAGGAAUUGGAAAUCCCAGUCAUUCUCUCCCCUGGGAUGUAAUCGUGUUUUCCUUAGGACAUCAGAAGAAAGGUUCCCUUUUUUUUNNNNNNNNNNNNNNNNNNNNNNNNNNNNNNNNNNNNNNNNNNNNNNNNNNNNNNNNNNNNNNNNNNNNNNNNNNNNNNNNNNNNNNNNNNNNNNNNNNNNGCGGCGGAGAGCCGGAGACCCCGGGAGCGGUGUGCGCCUGGAGGGCUCCUGAUCCGCCGUCGGUCCCGACCCGCGCAGACAUUCAGGCCAUCGCCUCCCAUCCUGUGCCACAUUGCUCCCAUUUAUCUGACCCCUACUAGCACCUGCUUGAGUGCACAUUGCACCACAUCCAUCUGACAGCCUUCAUAGAGCAACAUAGAACUGUGUGGACGUCAGUGCCCCGGCAGCAUGGGUAACCCCAACCCUGUAACCCUUCUGCCGGAUAGAUCACAGCAGCAGUAAAAAGGGCUGGGAUCAAUGAAGCUAAGCCUCUUCAGGAUAAAUAAACCUGCCUUGUCCUCUGUAGAGACUUUCCUUGCUCUCUCUCCAAGCACAGACAAGGAAACCUUUAAUGGGAGAAGGGAAGAAACUUAAGAAAGCCAAAAAUAUGAAGAUGUGUGCAAAAAUGUGUGCAAUCACCCUCCUCCCCCAGCAGUGCAGAAAGCGGUCCCUGGGCCGCAGGAUCUGACUUCUGCCUUCUUGCUGGAAGCCACAGCAGCAGGUUCUUUGGGGCUUAAGCAUCCUUCCUUCCAUUUACCUGAGAAACCACCAUCUCCACAAUCCCCACCCAACCAAACUACCCCCCCCCCAAAAAAAAAACAAAAACCUAGCUUCAAAAAAUCCCUUGAGCACAUCUCCAAGUUAUUUCCCCAUUCAGUGCCCUUCAACUCCAGGACAGGGCUGCGGUGUCUUCCCGAGCAUCCCGGAGCUGCCCGGGAAGAGUUCUGUGGCAGCAAUUCCUGCUUUCAUCGAUAGAGGGAGCAGACCGCUUCGUGGUUUUAUUUCAAGCUCAGCAGCAUCAGCGGUGUGCUGGCCCAUCCACCUUCAAAGGGAAGUGUUCUGGUUUUAUUGAUAUUUCCAAAUGUGUGGUUGUUUUGUUUGUUUGUUUGUUUUCUUUCUGAAAAUGAACUUUUCCCCUUUGUUUUAUAUACUUACAAUAUUGAAAGCUUUACUGAAGUUCAAAAAGAUUACAUUAACUGGCUUUCCUUGGUUAACUAGAUGGGUGACCUUGUCAUAAAAGGAGAUUAAGUUGGUUAAACAGGACCUUCCCCUCAUGAAUCCGUGUUGAGUGUGACCAAUGACUGCACUGUCCUUCAGAUGUUUUUCAAAUUUCAAUUUUCUCAGUAAUUUUGCCAGGCACUGAAGUGAGAAUUGCAGACCUGUGAUUACCAGGGGCUUCUUUCUUACUGUUCUUGGAAGAGGAGACAUUUGCCAGAGUCCAGAUAACUCAGACCUCUCUAGAUUUCCAAGACAGUUGAAAAAUAAAUGAGGCUGUGUCAUGAUGACUUCAGUCAGGAAUUGUCUGGAAUACUGUAUCCAGCUUGAAUGCUCCCAAUACAAAGAACACUGAUAAAAUUCAGCAGAUCCCAUGGAGGGCUAUCAGGACAGCUGGGAGAUGGAACACUGGAGAUGCUAGGAAAUCUGGGCUUUCUCAGCCUGGGGAAGGGAAGCCUGACAGCAGCCUUCCAGUAUCUACAAGGGGAUUAUAGAGAAAGUGGAGCUAGGCUCUGUACUGGAGUGCAGAGAGAGCAGAUGACAGACAGGAGUCAUAAACUGGAAUAGGACUGGAAAAAAACAAUCACUGAGGGUUAUUAAGCACUGGCUGCCUUGAGAGGUUGGGAUUUCUAUCACUGAAAGUUUCUGAGACCCACCUGGACAAGGCACUGAGAAAUCUCAUCUUAUUUUAGUUGUGAUCCUUUUUUAAGCAGGAGGUUGGACAGGAGACCUCACACGAUCCCUUUAAAAUUGAAUGACACUGUGGCUUUUGACUAAACACAAAGCUAUGAAAACCAUAUCCUUAAAAUUUUUUGCAGAGAUCUGGUAUACAUUUCUAUUACCUAUAUUAACAGCAAGAUUGCUGUGGGGGCAAGUUUUAGAGAAAUCACUGAGUUACUGUACUUUCAACAGUCACUGGAAUUAGAAGGAGAUACUGGACAGGAUUUAAAAUCAAACUUCAUAAAAAUUCAUUGCAAUCAAGCCUGUUUCGAUGGAAUUUUUUAAAUUAUUGCUUAUCAACAUGUAAAUGUAUUCAUAUCAAGAAUUAACAAACUGCAUUUUAUUCAGACUUCUGAACAAAAUCUCUGACAACAAAGAUGGAUUAGAAAAUGAAAGCAUUUUUCUGCUUUUAUUAAUUCUUUAAAAAUAAUUAGUAAAUAAAUAAAUAAAUA
rnacentral:lncRNA from 1 species